rnacentral:rRNA from 1 species
GAGUGCGAUCAUACCAACGUUAAUGCACUAGAUCCCAUCAGAACUCCGCAGUUAAUCAGGCUUGGGCUAGAGUAGUACUGGGAUGGGUGACCUCCCAGUAAGUCCUAGUGUUGUACACU